rnacentral:rRNA from 1 species
UACGUAGGGGGCUAGCGUUGUCCGGAUUUAUUGGGCGUAAAGAGCGUGUAGGCGGCCAGGUAGGUCCGUUGUGAAAACUCGAGGCUCAACCUCGAGACGUCGGCGGAAACCCUCUGGCUAGAGUCCGGAAGAGGAGAGUGGAAUUCCUGGUGUAGCGGUGAAAUGCGCAGAUAUCAGGAAGAACACCCGUGGCGAAGGCGGCUCUCUGGGACGGUACUGACGCUGAGACGCGAAAGCGUGGGGAGCAAAUAGG